rnacentral:tRNA from 1 species
AUUUAUAUAGUUUAAUAAAAACAUUACAUUUUCAUUGUAAAAUUAAAAAAAAUUUUUUUAUAAAUU